rnacentral:rRNA from 1 species
AUGAACGCUGGCGGCGUGCCUAAUACAUGCAAGUCGAGCGAACAGACGAGGAGCUUGCUCCUCUGACGUUAGCGGCGGACGGGUGAGUAACACGUGGAUAACCUACCUAUAAGACUGGGAUAACUUCGGGAAACCGGAGCUAAUACCGGAUAAUAUAUUGAACCGCAUGGUUCAAUAGUGAAAGACGGUUUUGCUGUCACUUAUAGAUGGAUCCGCGCCGCAUUAGCUAGUUGGUAAGGUAACGGCUUACCAAGGCGACGAUGCGUAGCCGACCUGAGAGGGUGAUCGGCCACACUGGAACUGAGACACGGUCCAGACUCCUACGGGAGGCAGCAGUAGGGAAUCUUCCGCAAUGGGCGAAAGCCUGACGGAGCAACCCCGCGUGAGUGAUGAAGGUCUUCGGAUCGUAAAACUCUGUUAUUAGGGAAGAACAAAUGUGUAAGUAACUAUGCACGUCUUGACGGUACCUAAUCAGAAAGCCACGGCUAACUACGUG